GGGGAUGUAGCUCUGUGGCAGAGUGCUUGUCUAGCAUACAUGAGGCACUGAGUUCUAUCCUCAGUACUGCCA
rnacentral:tRNA from 1 species